AGUGAUGUCAAGUCAGCAUGGCCUUUAUAUCCUGGGCUACACACACGCUACAAUGGCCAACACAAUAGGUUGCUAAGCCGCGAGGUGGCGCCAAUCCAUAAAGUUGGUCUCAGUUCAGAUUGUAGGCUGCAACCCGCCUGCAUGAAGAUGGAGUUGCUAGUAACCGCAGGUCAGCUAUACUGCGGUGAAUACGUUCCCGGGGGCCUU
rnacentral:rRNA from 1 species